AGUUUUAUGAAACAUUCAAAAAGAUAUAUGUGAGCCAGUUGCCAAUUGCUCAUGGCUGUAAUCCUAGCUACUUAGGAGGCUGAGAACUGAGGAUCACAGUUUGAAGCCUGUCUGGGCAUGAAAGCCUGUGAGACUCUUUUCCCCAAUUAGCCGCCAGAAAUGCUGGAAGUGGGGCUGUGGCUCAAGUGGUAGAGUGCUAGGUAGCCUUGAGCACAAAGGCUCAGGGUGAACAUGCAAAUCCUGAGUUCAAGUCCCAGGACUGAUACAUACACAAGAAAAGAUGUAUGUGAUUCAUAUCUAGAUUCUUGUAUGAAAUGGACACAGCAUAGUAUGAUUGGUAUUUUGCAGACCAAAUAAGAUAGAUAAUGUGAAAUAAUUUGAAGCUGUUUUUUUCCCUCUACAAGACAGGAUCUCAUUAUUAAAACUAGGCUGGCCUAGAACUUGUGGUUCUCUUGCCUCAGUUUCACAAGUACUGGGAUUCCUGGUGUGUACUACUCAUUUAAACCUGGCUGAUAUUUUAGGCCUCUUAGUGGUAUACACCUACUAUAGAGAUAUUCAGAAUCCUUUUCAAUUUUUUUUGUUCAUGUGUUACCUUUGAUCUGGACAAUUAGACAGUAAAAAAUACAAACAUUUUCAGUCUUAUAUAUGUUGUCUUAUGUAUAUACUUAUAUAUUUGGAGGCUUACUUUUUAUCUACUGAUAUGCAUAUAUGGCAUUUGAGUGUUCAUACCAUUUUAUCCAUUAGAGUUGAGGCCUUAAUAGUCAUUUCCUCACCAGUGCUAACAUUCAGGAAUACCUUUUAAAUGUGAAUCUCAUCUCGUAGAGAAAACCAUUUUUACAUGUACCAGAAUCAAGAUAUUCUAGUCUUUACAUGAUUUUUUUCUCCAUCUGUCUGUCUCUUUUGUCUCUAAUUUUGUUGGUGCAUCAGGACUACUGAGCAAGUCAAAUUUCUCUGUUUUCUGUUGUAAGUACUCUUGCUGUUGAUACUGUUUGUCCCUGGGACUUCUGGCAGUCCCCUCUCCUAGCCCUGCUCUACUAUCUUUUCAUGGCAUGUUGGCUUCUCUUUUUCAACUUACCUUUUUGAUGAUUUUGUUUUUCUUUUGCAUUUCAUUUGCCCCCUCAUAAGUUGGCUUAGCCUUGCAAGUCUGUACCUAAGGGAGUGAAAAUGACCCUUUCCACCUUAGGUGCUAGAGCUUGUGUCCCCUGGCUUGGCAUGCCUUGAAUACCAAAAGCUGGCUUGGCCCCAAGAAGUGCUGUGGCUACAGCACUGGUUUGAGGGACUGCUCUGCUAUAUCAUGGGGAUACUGGAAUUUUUUUUUUUUGAUAAGUUAAGGCUGCUGGCUUGGUACAGGUAAUACAUUUUACUGGUAAAUUUCCCUGAAUCGUCCUGAGUUAAAAGACAGAGUGGCACUCAGUAAGAGCGCGAGGGAAAGACAGUGGACGAGUUAGUGAUGGUGUGCAUGCUGGUAACUUGCAAGUUGCAAAUAGUUGUUUUUUUCUUUUGUUGGUCAGAGUGGUAUUUUUUAAUUGUUAUUAUUAAGUAGUUGUACAAAGGGGUUCCAUUGUUUCUUUUUAACUGAAAACUUUAAGCUUAUUAAAACAGCAGAAUCUGAGUUAAUCUUGUGAUCACAAACUAUGAACUAGUCUGAAAAUAACAGGGGGAUCCACAUUUGCCUCUAAUCGUGGCCUUUGUACACACUACAUGCUGUUCCUCUUCUGUCUUGCUACAUAAAAAGAAUGAUAGCAAUUUGCUUAAAUACUUCUACUUUUAUACCUUCAUUGACCACAGUUCUUUUCUGUAAGUACCCAGCUCUGGACUAGGACUCUCUUAGGAGAUAUCUUGUCUGUGACUUUUAGAGCAAUAAAGACUUUUUAAAGACUU